rnacentral:rRNA from 1 species
GAGUUUGAUCUUGGCUCAGAACGAACGCUGGCGGCAUGCCUAACACAUGCAAGUCGAACGGGAUCCGAGCUUCGGUUCGGUGAGAGUGGCGGACGGGUGAGUAACGCGUGGGAACCUGCCCAGUGGUGGGGGAUAACUGCGGGAAACUGCAGCUAAUACCGCAUGAGCCCGAGAGGGGAAAGAUUUAUCGCCAUUGGAGGGGCCCGCGUUCGAUUAGGUAGUUGGUGAGGCAAAGGCUCACCAAGCCGACGAUCGAUAGCUGGUCUGAGAGGAUGAUCAGCCACACUGGGACUGAGAUACGGCCCAGACUCCUACGGGAGGCAGCAGUGGGGAAUAUUGGACAAUGGGGGCAACCCUGAUCCAGCAAUGCCGCGUGAGUGAUGAAGGCCUUCGGUUG